GUUUAACAGCCACUGUGAUGGCAGUAAUUGUUUUAACAUUAUAUUUAUUUCUUGGUCUAGAUACUGCUCUGAAGUUAUGUCUUGGAACAUCUUACCCAUGCCAUAGACACAUGGAUACAUGUGUGUGGGAAAUAAACUUGAGGAGAAAGUGAUGUGGACUGGUCCAUCAGCAAUAAAGACUUGGAGAAAAUUCCCCCUUGUUGCUUGUGUGAAGAAAGAGGUCACCUACAAAACGCCCAGCACAAUUUUGUUUGAACUGCUGUUUGCCAGGACACUAUUCUAAGGAGUGUCUUGAGAAAGCUUAUUGGAAUAAACACUGUAACCACUGUGAUAUGAAAGGGCAUUAUGCUGAUGCUUGCCCAGAAAUAUGGAGGCAGUAUCAUCUAACAGUAAGUAGAAACUCCUUUUUAUUUUCUUCUACACCCAACCUAUUUACUCUUCUGUGAACUGUUGACCAUAAAAUAGACAAGCAUCUUCUGCAUGUAGAUAAUAAACAUCUGAAGAGUUUUGGAAUUGAAGAAUGUUGUGAAACACUGUCCAUGUUUUUUAAACAUCCUUAGAAGUUCUGAUUUGGUUUUAAUACUGGAAUCAUUUAAUGAGUGCAUUGUAGCAAUUUUCUCUCUGUGAUUGUGUUUACUGUACACAUAAAAAGGUUAAGUUUUAUGUUGAGAUACAUAGCAGAAACAAUAGUCUCAUCUCAGAUAUCCCUGAUUCUGUUAGCUAUAAUAAUUGUAUAUUACAAGGAGAUGGUAA